UUUAGAUUACGUAGCGAGCACUUGUCGUCAGCAUGUCCAGCUAUUUAAAGAGUUCUCGUGCAGCGUAGGGGAGCAAACUGCACUGCUGCACACCACUGCCUUCUCUGUCAGCCUCCGGCGCUCAGGCGUUUACAGCUUCACAAGACUAUCACUGAAGAACACCACUGAAGAGACAGCAUGACGAUCCACAGUAUGGCCAAGGGCUCUGUUCUGAAGGUUAAAGUUGGGAAAUACGUGACGGUCCGGCAAUUUAAGGAUGGAGGUGUGAAGCUGUGUGCUUGGGAUAGUCAAACAGAACUUUUAGUCGACAUAUACACGCGGCAAAUAGACAACAAGAACCAGAUGGCUUUCUGUUUCCACCAUAAAGGUGGUUGCUAUCUCCUAAAAGUGGGGAAGACGGGAAUGAACCUUGAGCAAAUCACCCCAUCCGUGUCUCCUUCACGUGAUGAGCACUGGUUUGAGAGGGUUCAACAGAACGUCGGCGAUAAAUUCGGCCUGCGAUCUGUGGGAGAUUCCAGCAAAUACCUCUCAUUAGACGCUAACGACAAAACAUUAAUUGUCUGCCACAGUGAAAUGAACGUGUAUGGUCUGUUCACAUGUUAUAGCAAAGCCUAGAGGCAUCCAUCAUCAGCUCAGCUUCCUCUGGACCAACUUUAUUAAAGGGGUGCUCUUGCAGUUUAGUUCUGUACCUCCAUUAAGCUGGGCGACCUGGAAGAGAGAGAUUAAAAAACAAAUGGUCAACAUUGGGGCAGCAGUGGUCGAGAUCUCGUUAUUUUUAAUUCCCAGUAUGGGUCAAGCUCAAAAAAGACUGGAUCCCAAACUUGAUCCCAAAUCUGAUUUCAUUUCUUAAGCCUUUCCAGCUGGUAAAUACUGUUAAACUUGUGUUUCAAACAUGACACCCCAGUUUGUAACUUUCUGUUAAAAGUUUGAAGCUCCCGGACGAUACCUGAGUAGUUCUCCGCACAACGAGUAAAUUCAUCUUUAUGUGAACGAUUGGUAGUGUUUCCCUUUAAUGUGAAAAUGUUCCUCAAAUGCUUUUGGUAUGAUGGCAUUUAAGCAGGAAGGGGGGGGGUGUUGACUACUGAAUGUUUGUGAAGCAGAUUUAAGUUUUUUUGGUUUGACAUAUCUCUACUGAAACAGAUUUGUCAGGGUUCUUUGAUGCAGCAAUAUUCAUGAUCCAGUACACUGAUUGGCUGUCGGUAAUGCUGACCCUGCUUUGUCAAAGCCAUUACAGUGUACAAGCCUGAUUCGGAUCUUGACUCAGAAGUUAAAUACUGUAGUGCAGGAGUUUUCAAAGUUUUAAGGACUGAGAGCCAAUUUAGGAAGCCAGUAGCAGGAAAAGCGCAGUUGCGAGUUGUCCACCAAAAUCACUAACUUUAGCUAACAGCACUGUCAUUGAUGACAGAAUGUAAAAACCACCAGUGGCCAUACAACCAGUAGCUUACUAUAAGCUGUCAUUCCUAACCUGAUAGACGGUUGUUAGGGGGGCACAGUUUGAUGCAGUCUCCUAGCAGUGUAUUAAAUGUAAGCUAUUAAAUGUGAACAUAUUGAAUGUCCCCCAAAUGGUUAAAAUAUACUGCAUGCAUUUCAUAUCAUGUUCGGGGGCUGCAGUAAAUUUCUCUGAUGGCUGCCAUCGGCCUGCGGGCCAGUGAAUAUUAUUCAUUUUUCACCAGUUACAAUCACGCAGUUUACCUAACACCUGCAACAGCUAAAUCCAUCUUAACUCAUGACAAAUAAUGUUUAAUGCACGUCAAUGUUUGCUGCACGCCUCUCAAUGUCUUAUCUUGCUUGUGUUGGAAAAGAAAAGCUUUAUAUGUAUAUUUAAAUGCAUUUAUAUUUUUGGGGGGUAAUUGUAUUGUAUACCAUACUAACUGUAACUGUAAAUGUAACCACAUCUUUCAAUAAACACUUGUAUAUCUUGAA